AUUCUUACUGAGCAACCCCUAAAAUCUGUUCUUAAAUUUCAUCGCCUCUUUCUUCUUCUUCUUCUUCUUCUUUUUAUAUCUUUCUUUCCUUCUUGUUUAUAUAUAGAGAGCUGAAGCCAAUUCUGGUUGGCUUCUUCACUCUCUUUUCCAUGCCCCAAGAUUUUUUUUUUUUUUGUAAACAAACCAGCAAACCCAAACUCACAAGGGUUUUUUGUCUCUUCCUCCAACUUCAAAUUUCAACUCCAAAUAUUGCAGGCGUUCUGUGAUGCUUGUUCUUUGGUUUCUGUUCUUUUUAACUCGCUCGGUCUCGCCUUCAAAUUCGCGGAGAUGGAUGGAUGGAUGAUAUUUGAAAUUGGGUUUAGCAGACAACGAUGAGAGAGUGGCGGAUGUGCGACGAGGAAUUUCAGCCAUAUUUCAUGUUAGGUGAUUUAUGGGAGUCAUUCAAAGAGUGUAGAGCAUAUGGGGCAGGAGUCCCGCUAAUUUUGAAUUGCCUUGAUUCUGUUGCCCAGUAUUAUGUACCUUAUUUAUCCGGUAUUCGAAUUUACGCUGAUUCCUUGAAGCGCUCUACCAAGGCAUCAAGUUUAAAUCAGGUAGGUAAUCUUGUGGAAGCAUCAAAGAGGUUUGCCACUUUAGAAAAUAUAGUUGAUGCAGAUGUAGGUAAUGGGCAGUGAAAAAACAGAGAAGCCCUUCGCGUGAUCUGCGUCGUGUUAGACAGGGUCUUCACCUCGUACGAGCUUUAUUUGAACAAUUUUUGUCAUACAAGUACGUUAUAUGCCCUUCCAACUUUAACUCUAUAUUUUUCUCUCGAGGGAAUCCUGGUAUUAUCCUUGAAUGUGAGCAUCUGUAAGUGCUUGUUAUCUCUUUUUGUUGUUUUUGCUGUUGUAUGGAUUACUCAUUGAGAAACACAGCUUCAACAACUUAUGCUCAAGUAUGUGCACCGUAUCACUCCAAAUUGCUAUGAGCAGCAAAGAAAAUUUUUUUAAUUGCAGAAAACCAACUUCCCUUCUUUCCCAUACUGCCAGAAAAUUUAGGGACUGCACGACUUGUGGUUGAUUUCGAUAGGUGGUGGACUGGUGAGGAAUCUGUGAAUGUUCUCUUAGAAGCCGCAGGCCAAGGUCCAAUCUACAUCUGAUGGAGCUGAUUCCACUCUUUCAAACCCCUUGUGCGAGGAGUCUGCUCAAAAUUCUUCAAAAAUACUCUUAACAGACAGAGCAUACAUCCACCACCUGCCUUUGGCUCAUCGCCUAAUCUUGAAGCCCUUGCACUUGAAGCAAAUAAGUCUAAGGAUCAAGAUGGAGAUAGUUCUUUACUUGACAGUUCACAUCUUUCCCGGUAUUUAACUAUUUAUUUAUGCCUUAACAUGUCCUUAGGUGAGGGCUGAUUGUUUAUACAAAAAUUUUGGUUAAGUUAGUGGUAGUUUGGUUUUUUUGGACUUGAUCAUCAUAUACUUUUUGAAUAUUAUGUAUUGGAUCUUUAAAUUAUUUAGGAGUGCAUUAACUAAUAAGGUCCUGUCAAAGUUCAACUUUCUUACCUCAGAACAAUGCUUCACCACCAUCUUUAGUUGACUUCAGUUUUAGGCCCAUGCAUGAAGUUACAUUUUCAACAGAAGACAAACCAAAACUUCUUAGUCAGGUUUGAUUGUGGCAUGUUUAUGUAUUCUAUAUAUCAACUUCUAUAGCAGAGGCUUAAGUCUUUGUUUUGAGCAGGCUUAUGUAGGAACACAUGCCCUAUGCCCUAUUUUCGUUUAAGGACCACCAAGGAAAUUCUGAAACUGAAAGCUGAUUGAUCGGAUGUGUAUGCCGGCUUUCAUCAACUACAUUCGAAGGCCUUACUAGGAAUUGAAAUGGUGUGCAAAGAGAUUGCUUCUUCUGAUCUGAUUUUUCGAUAUAAAUACUGGACAAAGUAUGGAUAUUUUACUGCUGUUAGUAAAAUAGGAUUCUCUUCUUAGGAUCUUAGUUUCUUCACUUGUAUUAGACUCAACAAUGGCUUGCAUUGCAUUGGUGUUGAUUUUACCAAAAUUUCGAGGUUUACAAUUAACUAUUUUUAUUAAUUA